UUAAGCAAUUAGUGUAGUGCACUUAUCGGAGCAAAAUCAUUCCUGGUUUUUUGCUAACUCUGGAUAACACUGCUUAUCGCACGACCUUGUGUCGGCGAAGUUACAUUCAAGUAUCUGCCUUAUCAACUAUCGUUGGUAGUGUAUUGGACUACCAUGGUGUUGACGGGUAACGGAGAAUCAGGGUUCGACUCCGGAGAGGGAGCCUUAGAAACGGCUACCAUGUCUAAGGACAGCAGCAGGCGCGCAACUUAUCCACUGUUCAUUGAACGAGAUAGUGACGAGAAAUAACAAGCCCGUUCUCUUUGAGGUCGGGCAUUGGAAUGGAUGGAAUCUAAACAGUUCCAUGAGUAUCAACGAGAGGGCAAGUCUGGUGCCAGCAGCCGCGGUAAUUCCAGCUCUCGUAAUGUAUAGAAUUAUUGUUGCGGUUAAAAAGUUCGUAGUUGGAUUUUCUACCGUUCGGCGGUUGGGUUUAACGACUCAGACUGUCGGCGGUUUUUGCGCUAUGACUGGCUUGCUAGUCUUAGUGCGGAUUACUUUGAACGGCUUAAGUGCUCAAGGCGAGUCUUCGGACUGAAUACCGGUGCAUGGAAUAAUGGGACAAGGUCACGGCCGAGUUUUAUUGGUUUUGUCGGCUGAGACNAUGGUUAACAGGAACAGCUGGGGGCACUCGUAUCGCUGCGCGAGAGGUGAAAUUCGUGGACCGCAGCGAGACGCC
rnacentral:rRNA from 1 species